rnacentral:sRNA from 1 species
UAGCUUAGUGGAAAGGAGCCUGUUUUCUAAGCAGGUGGGGAGGGGUUCGACCCCU